CUCGGGAGGGGGGUCUCUCAGCCCGGAUAGCGAGAGGGUGCAGGCCAGGCCGAGGGACCCCACUGGUGCACG
rnacentral:pre_miRNA from 1 species